GAGAUAUGAUGAAUAAUAUAAUUGGUCCGUGUUUCUGAAUAAUAUUUGAUUGAUAAACCUUACCAACCUCUGAUCUC
rnacentral:snoRNA from 1 species